CAGGGCACCGUCGGCGCCCGCUGUCCUCCUUGACCAGCGGCGGCGAGGGAGCGGAGCAUCGGACGUCUCCUGAUGAAUCAGAGCACGUGGUGUUUACAGAGUUUCUAGUCUGCUCCUCCUCCGGGCCGUCUGUGGUGAUCCCUCCCUCCUCCUCCUCUGUGUCGCUAUCAGACGACAGGUUGACCACACAAGGACUGGGCGUGGCCCCGCUGCUCAGACAGACAACACACAACAACACGUCAGCACACCGCAACAUGUUCAAAGCGUGCAAAUCAAAUCUUAAUUGUAUCGACGACUUUCUUUAAAUAAAGUUUCUGUUGAAGGCAAA